GAAAUGCGAUAAGUAAUGUGAAUUGCAGAAUUCAGUGAAUCAUCGAAUCUUUGAACGCACCUUGCGCUCCUUGGUAUUCCUUGGAGCAUGCCUGUUCGAGCGUCAUUACACCACUCAAGCCUGGCUUGGUAUUGAGCGCCGCGGCCUGCCCGCGCGCUCCAAUGUCUCCGGCUGAGCCGUCCGUCUCUAAGCGUUGUGAAUAGCGAUCGCUUGCGAGGCCCGGGCGGUUCGACGCCGUUAAACCCCCCAUUUUCUAUGGUUGACCUCGGAUCAGGUAGGGAUACCCGCUGAACUUAAGC
rnacentral:misc_RNA from 1 species